AAAGAGACAAGUUGCAUUUCAUGCAAUUUCAUAGAAAAUGUGUAAACUGUAAACUGCCGAUUAAUGUAAUAAUAAUAACUUAAAUAAAAACAUAAACAGAUACAAAUUGUUGUGUAUAUGUGGAAUGCCAAUGUUUCUUGGCGUGCUUAAAACUUUAAUUUGAUUCUAGAAAUUGAAUAUAAUCAUGACUGCUAUAAAAGUGCACGGUGGUAUUGAUAUUUUAAGGCUGCCUGUAAACGAGGAAGAACACAUUUGCCCUCCAUGGCGUAUCAAAUACACACAAUCUCAUAUACUCCAUUCUAAAUGUUCAAAAAGUGAAAGUGGCUGUGGUUCCAAUGACGAGACUGCCUGUCAGUUUUGCGUAUAUAACAAUGCGUUAGAAUUGCCACAUAUGCCAGAUAUGGUAUUUCCCAAUAAUGUAUUAACUCUGACGCAUCAGGAAGGACCGUUACUUCAAUUCAAUGCUUUGGAUUCUUUAAGAUAUGUCUCCAAUGGAAAGAUUAAUGUACAACUUGCUUGUGCAGAGGCGUGGAAAGAAUCCAGAUUGGAAAGUAGCGAAUAUUUGGAAGAGAAGAUAAAACCUUUUGAUUGGACAUUUACUACUAAUUAUACUGGUACAAUAUCAGGCUUUGAAAUUGAAGAAACAAAUGAGAGAAUUGAUAUAGAUAAAUUAAGGCAGAGAGAUAAGAUUAUGUUUUAUCAUGAUUUAACAUUGUUUGAAGACGAACUUCACGACAAUGGUAUUGCAGUAAACUCAGUCAAAAUUAGAGUUAUGCCCACUAGUUUCUUUAUAUUAUUACGAUAUUUUCUGAGAAUUGAUAAUGUAAUGUUGAGAAUAAAUGAUACUCGUAUUUACCACGAAUUUGGCAAAAAUUACUUAUUACGUGAAUUUACAUCACGGGAAGCUAAAGUUCAAGAUAUUCGAGUUUCCCCGGCACUCUUUUUGGAGCCAAGUGCAAUAGCACCUCAUUUGCCAUUAAUUGGAAGCCGAUAUGACAAAUUGAUAAUACCUGAAAAAACAGAAGGACCUAAAUUAACUGAAGAUACAACUGGACAGAAUAAAAUGAUGCUUGAAGGACAAAUAACGCAACCUGAUGAACUCACAGCAGAUAAUUCCAUCACAUAAGAUUUCAAGUUUGGAUAUCGAAGAGAAUGCGACUGGUCUCGGAUAAGGCUAGAUUCCGCACAGAAAAGCUUUGCCCCUCUGUAUUUCACCAUAAACACCAUUGCAUGUGUUUCUCUUUUUCUCUCCGGAUAAGUAGAAAAUAAAUAUCAAAGGAAAAAGAGAAGGAAGAGGAGAAGAACCGAGGGAGAGAACUGAUCGGCUUUCGGGUUGGGCUGCCUUCCCACCACCGCAUGGUGAUGUUUAUUCGCGGGCGCAAAAAAACUUGGGUGAAUUCCAUCGUACGGGUCGACAGAGAUGACGAGAGGGGUUAGAGGGAAGAGUGGAGGAAGAUGAAGAGAAGAACAAGGAGAGAAGGCGGAGCGGACGGUGGAGCGAAGAGGAGAGAAACGCAAUAAGAGCAAGAAACAAGGAGGUCGUCGACGACAGCAAUCUCUCGUGAGUAGGCUUAUCCCAUUGCCUCCGUCCCACCUUAUAGCGCUCUCACACGCUACCAGCGGGUGCGUAGGUGUUUCCGGCCGGCUGAAGAAGCACGGCCGCCUGCGCCCGUCGAUCCAGAAGAGGACGGUCGAGCCAGGAUAGAAUCAGAGAGAAGAAAGAGAGGAAGAAGAGAGACGGAGCAAUGAUGAGUUGAUGGCGAGAAUGGCGUAGAAAAAGAGCUAAAAAGAUUGAGAAGAAGAGAAAAAGAUAGAGAGAAAGAGAGAGGAGACUCGACCGAAAGACAGAGAACAACUCGACCGGAAGCAGUUACUCGCGCGAUGCAACGAAAAUAUCAAGGCGUCCGUUUCGCGCAAUAGGACUGCUCGCGCGCGUUUGCCUGGAGUUUAAUAUAGAACACUCGCGCGGCCGGUUCCGUCGCGAAAACAUCACGCGCUGACGUCGACCGUGCGCGAGUUCCUCUCUCUUUCCCCGCACGAGAAAAACAUCUCCUUUCCGCUUGGCCAUCGUAGCUCCUGGCUUUCUUCCUCUCUUCGGACGCAACGCGGAUCCCUAAAAUUAGGCUCGUGUCCACUCGCUCGGCGCGUCACCGUCGCCGCAAGUGACAUCCGCGUCGGAGAGCCGGACUCGUCGAAGGUCUUUGUCCGUGACAGUGGUGUGGCCGUGCAGUGGCACGCAGCGAAUAACGGGAACAAGAAUGUGCAUAUAGUAGUAUAGGGCGACUGAAAAGAACAGUAGGCCUAUUGACAAUCGCGCGACUACUCUCACAUUUUAUUUGAACUCGUCAAUUAGGACAUGUGGGAAAGAAGAGGGAGAUCCGCCCGUAUGAUUUUCAUGACAUCGCGUUUUAAACGCGGAAAUCCAUUGUCGACAUCCCUCAUGAUGCCCCGAUGUCUCUUUUGACAUGCUUAACAAGUCGCUAAGAGGGCAAUCUUCCGUUGUUGCUGCGAUCGUUGAAGCGUGGAGGAAGGGAUAAGUAACAGAGGACGGCAGGAUGAGAAGGAAGAGGAGGAGGAGAAAAGAGAUGGAAGAGGGAGACCUGGUACUGGCUCCUCGAGGUUUCGUGGAAGACAGCGGCAGGAAGGCGAAAAAGGAAUGCCACUUCCGGUCACAUGACACCACUGGACCAGCCGACCACUUUGCUCUCUUCUUAUUUUCGGCACGUCGUCCGGACCUCUCCACGCCCCCUUCUUCUCCUUCUCCCUCUUUUCGAUUAACGCGCGGCAUCGCAAAUCGGUCACGAGAGAAACAGAUGGAUGGCUGCUUGUUGACUUUCGUUAACGAAUUUGUCGGCUCCAGAGGAACUUUGUCGAUUGAUAAUUUCUAACGUAAGGUUCAUUUAUGGACCAUCCGAUCAAGAAGAAUGUGAAAUUGUUAGAUGAUACAUUUUUGUGCUGGAAAUUAAAAAAAAUUAAUUUUGCUUUUCCCCUCAUGUAUAUCUCGAACGUACUGUUAAUUAUUCUAAAAAUUGGCGCUGAUAAAAAUUAGUGAUAAGAAAAAAAGCUCUUGCGCGCAAACUUAUCGAAAAUUAAAAUAUCGUCAGCAGGAAAAGUAAGAAAAUUCACCUGAACAAAUAUUUAUCCCAAUUUUUGAUAAAAAAUCGGUGCAAAAUUAUGUGCUUAAUAGUAAAACAAUCUAUAUAUACAGGCUGGCGACUUAUCCCAGAUUUGUUUCUCGCGCGUGUAGGAUAAUUAUUAAUUACGAUCGUGUAAUAUUAUAAUGUGCCGCCGUUAACACUCAACACUAUCUAAGAUUUUAUAUGGAGACACUCGUGAGACUGCAACGAAUGGCAGAGCCCGCACAUCCCGCGAACUAACGGACUCACAUCCGUUCGCUUCCUUCGCCGCGCGCCGCGAUGCAUUCAAUUGCCCGCUAAUGAUGAUCCGGGACCUCUCGCCUAACGUCGAUCGCCUUCGUCGAGAUCGACUGCAAAGCAAACACACUCAGAAGUGGUUGUAAACUCUCGGCGUUCCCGGUCGGACGACGAAAGGACACGGCGAUUGACUAGAAAAGAAGCGAAAUCCAAUGCAAGGAAGAUGAUGGAUUUUUCUUCUAUAUUUCAUCGUGCUUGUUCUCUUUGAAAGUUAUCGCUCUCCAUCUGUAAGAUGUUGUGAAUCUAAUCGUUUAGUUUUAUGAUGUAUCGGAAUACAAAUAAAUGACUGAAUAAAAAAAAAAAAAAUUAAUAAUACAAUGAUGAUUAAAAUUAACACAUUUUUGAGCUUUAUAUAGACAGAAAAGUGAUUAUUUAUUUAUACGUGUCCUCCCCCUCAGCUCAAAUGCGAACGGUUAUCUCGGACUACUUUGCGUACGCAGGGGGAGGGGGAAGAAAAUUUAAAUAAAUUACGAUUACUAUUGAUAUACAGGAGAAUUGUGUGAUUGGUUGAAUAUAUAAAUGCAUAAGUAUAUACAUAGUCUAUGCAUGUAUAUAUAUAUAUGUAUAUAUAUGUAUAUAUAUAUAUUUACAAGACAUAUACAGAUCGUAUAGACUUAAUAUUAAUAAAAACUUGUUUUCUCUCGCUUGAAACGCAUCCGCAUGCGCGCAUACAAACACCUACACGUAAUAGACAGACACACUCACACGCGCACAUACUCAUGACAUAUACGUACACUCGCGUUCCAUUCACGCCUUCGUGUCCUUUCGCGCCUUCACUAGUCGAUUGCUGUGCAAUCGCAUUGUUGUCUUCAGCGAAUGUCUACAAGUCGCGAUUUCGAUUCGAGUCGAGCAUAAAUCUCAUCGAUUUUACAACUUUCAUACGCAUUAAAAAUAAAAGCGCACAAAAUAAAUAUCAACUACAAAUAUCCGCUAUAUAUAUUGUAGUGUUUAUAUAAAGAGAUCUCAUUUCUAGUGUCUAGAUUAAAUUAGAACUAGAAAGAGCAUCGAUUAAACCGCGAUCAAGAGAUUCCAAGAUCGAAAAAUUGAUCCAAAGAUCGCUUGGAUGUUUGCGCCUGGGUAAGAAAAUUUUUCGUUUCCACUUUGAUAACGGACGCUCCUCGAAACACACGCACACAGUUGUUAGAAGAAACAUAUAAUCGCUAACGACUUGCGAAUCGCGAAAAGACAGAAGCUCGUCUCGCUUUAGUAUAUUCAACAGUUUGGCGUUCUCUCGUUAUAUUCUCUUCUCGUCGCAUUCGUCUUACGUGAAAAAAACCUUGUUACGCUUUUUCACAUCGUUUAAUCGUUCUCGCACCCAAGCCAUAACACUCUUUUCGUACUAUAUCUCCUCCGUUUUCUUCUUAUUCUCGUUGUCUCGUGCCCGCCCUUCGCAAGAAGGGUGAGCGAAUCAUCGAGAGAAAGAAUUGGAAAAAAGAAACGCUGAAUCAUCUCGCGCGGAAUAAAAAUCAUGCUCGCAAACAAUUCCGAAAAUUCUAUCGACCAUGUUAAUCGAUACAGAAACAUAAAUACGUACAACGUAUAAUCGUGUUUGUGUUUCGCAUCAAAAUUAUUUGCUAUUAGCAGUGUAUAACUCCAAAACUAUUUUUUUUUUUUCCACAACGGUAUUUUGAUCGUAUUAUUUUUUCUUCUACAUAACGUGAAUCUGAAUAUCUUUACACAAUUUCCCUUUCGCAGUUCCUUUUAUAUUCUUUAAAAAUUAUAAUAUCUGUAUGCUCCCUGCAACUUUCAAAUGAAAGGAACCAAAAUGCGAAAGAAUAUCUGGAAAGAUUAAGAGCAAAAGAGAACGAAAGUAGUAAUUAGAGUGAAAAAUUACAUAAUUUGAAUAAUUUUAUUCUGCUUCAACAAUAUUCUGAUUACUUCCAAUUAUUUCUCUCCGAGGAAGAAGAAAUGUAUGAUCUAAAUAUCAAGAUUGGUGACAACGACGUUUGCAGUAUUUCGUGCUUCCUUCCCGUAUGAGCCCUUCUCGAUUCGUCUUCGUCUCUACUUAUUUAUCCAUGUAAUCUCAGCCCAGUUACACUCGAUCGUACAUUUGCACGCAUCAUUCGCCCACGCCUCGCGUUGAAAUGCUAAAAUCGCGCGAGUCAUACGACUCCCGCUUCGAUCGCCACUCUUUAGAUCCGCGCGAGGAUACUCUGCUCUGACGAAUAUCGCUCUGAAAGAGAAAAAGCCAAUCGCCGAAAUACUUGAAUUUCUUUCCAUCAAAUCUCCAUAGUAUUUAACACUAGAACCACAUAUCCCUGGCACGAUACGGCUAUUCUCAUUUUUCACCCCGCUUGAUUAACGUAUCCGACUGAAUUUCCGGAACCGUCGAACAACUAUACUAUGGUGAAAUAAUAUUUUUCAUAAAUAUAAACGCGUCAGCGGCACUUUUCUAUCUUAAAACUUGGUAGCAGUUCUAGUGUUAAAACGCGCGUAUCAGUACGCAUUUGCUGCUACCUGGUGCCACUCGAAAGAGAAAGAGAGAGAGAGAAAAAGAAAG